rnacentral:rRNA from 1 species
AAACCAACAGGGAUUGCCUCAGUAACGGCGAGUGAAGCGGCAAAAGCUCAAAUUUGAAAUCCUUCGGGAGUUGUAAUUUGUAGGGGGAGACCCCGCGGCUAGUGCACCAAGUCCCUUGGAACAGGGCGCCUUAGAGGGUGAGAGCCCCGUAGGUACCACAACACCGUCUUGUGUCUCCUCUCCAAAGAGUCGAGUUGUUUGGGAAUGCAGCUCAAAGUGGGUGGUAAAUUCCAUCUAAAGCUAAAUACCGGCGAGAGACCGAUAGCGAACAAGUACAGUGAUGGAAAGAUGAAAAGCACUUUGAAAAGAGAGUGAAACAGUACGUGAAAUUGUUGAAAGGGAAGGGCUUGCAAGCAGACACGGCCUUCGUGCCGGGCCAGCAUCGGUUGCUAGGGGUGGAUAAGGAACAAGGAAUGUAGCUCCUCGGAGUAUUAUAGCCUUGCGCGAUACACCCACUGGCGACCGAGGCCUGCGGUAUUCUUUACCUAGGAUGCUGGCGUAAUGGUUGCAAGCCGCCCGUCUUGAAACACGGACC